rnacentral:rRNA from 1 species
UACGUAGGGUGCGAGCGUUGCCCGGAUUUAUUGGGCGGAAAGAGCGUGUAGGCGGCCAGGGAGGUCCGUUGUGAAAACUCGAGGCUCAACCUCGAGACGCCGAUGGAAACCCCCUGGCUAGAGUCCGGAAGAGGAGAAUGGAAUUCCUGGUGUAGCGGUGAGAUGCGCAGAUAUCAGGAGGAACACCAAUGGCGAAGGCAGCACUCUGGGACGGUACUGACGCUGAGACGCGAAAGCGUGGGGAGCAAACAGG